rnacentral:rRNA from 1 species
AACGAACGCUGGCGGCAGGCCUAACACAUGCAAGUCGAACGCCCGUAGCAAUACGGGAGUGGCAGACGGGUGAGUAACGCGUGGGAACGUGCCCUUCGGUUCGGAAUAACUCAGGGAAACUUGAGCUAAUACCGGAUACGUCCGUAAGGAGAAAGAUUUAUCGCCGAAGGAUCGGCCCGCGUCGGAUUAGCUAGUCGGUGAGGUAACGGCCCACCAAGGCGACGAUCCGUAGCUGGUCUGAGAGGANGAUCAGCCACACUGGGACUGAGACACGGCCCAGACUCCUACGGGAGGCAGCAGUGGGGAAUAUUGGACAAUGGGCGAAAGCCUGAUCCAGCCAUGCCGCGUGAGUGAAGAAGGCCUUAGGGUUGUAAAGCUCUUUCAGCGGGAAGAUAAUGACGGUACCCGC